AGAACAAGCGGCAACUUUGAGAUAAGCGGGUAAAAGUUUUUGUUAUUGACUCUACCUUUCUUGUCUAGUUGUCCGUCUUUCUUUGCAAAAGAGGUUCUCUCUCUGAUUUUCUGUUUGUGCUCUCUCUUCUCACUUUCGGCGGUAGAUUUCAGUUUAUUUGAGCUGCACUUUCAGGGAUCGACCAAACUUCUAAUCUGGCUCGCUUGGGACGUCUUGAGGUUUGGUUGAAUUUCUCUGCUUCCAUUUACUUCCUCUCUUUGGUUUCUGCUUCGAUUGUACUUCCUCGAUUUGGUUUCAUGUAAUAUGAUGCAUCUGGAUUCUGGAUGUAUAUAUGUUAUUAUAAUAGAUUUUUAGAUGCACAUAUAUGCAAGUUUUGUUUUGUUCUGUCUAUCCAUCUCUGUCUCAUUUCCCCCCUUUUUCCCAAUAGAUUCACUUGAUACCCAUUUGCCAGGCAAGAGUUUGAGAUUGUAUUAGGCAAGAGGAAGGUUCAAAUCCUCUGGAGGAAGCAUCUUGCACAAUACCAAGGCUUCUUCAAAGUCACUAGAUGCUGUUAACUAUACAAUCUGCAAAACCAGUAAUAUCCAAUUUGGUAGUUUACUCUGCACCAGGGUGCACUAUAUGAAUUGAUGGCGGAGAUCAAAUCUAGUCGACUCCUAUCAGAUCUCCGGUUGAAGUGAGACUCGAUGUUGAGAAGGAUUUUGUGCCUGAAGAUACGAAUAAUAAAGGAUCUUUUUGCAGCCUAUACGGGAAAAGUUGAUUGAAUUUGAAAAACAACUUAAGGAUAGGCAGAGUUGGUUUCCAUGGCUGGAUUUUGCUGUAGUUGUGGGUUGCACAAGCAUCAGACUUGUUUAUUAUAAUAUUACAGUUGAAGAUUAUGUCUAAGCUUGUAACAGGGAGAGAACCACUCCAUAUGGAACACAUAGUAUAAUGGAAUCAGACAUUUUUUAUAUGUUUUAUCGUAUUUCAUCUGCUUGGUCUA